rnacentral:lncRNA from 1 species
GGAUACUCUCAUCAGCUUUCUUACAAAGUCUGAUCAAUGUAAAACACUAUCAGUCACUUGGGAUGUCACCUGCUAGGAACUUGGAGAUCAACAACUGCUAUGUGAAUUAGAGGAGUAUAACCAAUGUCAGAGCAAAUAGGAGUGGCUUAAGUUCCUGAACUCCCUAUGGCAAAACAGGAAUUUGAAGAGGAAUUUUUUCAGAGAAGUCCUGGAGCCUGUGCUGCUGAGAAUGGAUGAUCUCCAUUUCCUUCUCUUGUCAUCUACCAUUUUGUGAACAAUGCAGUUUAACUCUCAGAGCUCACAAAAAGGGAAUUACAGUACUUGCACACUCCUUUUGGGGAUGGAGUCCUAAAAGUACCAGGCAACUUCAGCUCUCUGUCAUCAGCCUGCUCUUGACUUUUGAAAGAGAUUUGUU